rnacentral:rRNA from 1 species
UACGGGAGGCAGCAGUGGGGAAUAUUGCACAAUGGGCGCAAGCCUGAUGCAGCCAUGCCGCGUGUAUGAAGAAGGCCUUCGGGUUGUAAAGUACUUUCAGUCGUGAGGAAGGUGUUAAGGUUAAUAACCUUAGCAAUUGACGUUAGCGACAGAAGAAGCACCGGCUAACUCCGUGCCAGCAGCCGCGGUAAUACGGAGGGUGCGAGCGUUAAUCGGAAUUACUGGGCUAAAGGGCACGCAGGCGGUUAAUUAAGUUGGAUGUGAAAUCCCCGGGCUUAACCUGGGAAUGGCAUUCAAGACUGGUUAGCUAGAGUCUUGUAGAGGGGGUAGAAUUCCAUGUGUAGCGGUGAAAUGCGUAGAGAUGUGGAGGAAUACCGGUGGCGAAGGCGGCCCCUGGGACAAAGGACUGACGCUCAUGUGCGAAAGCGUGGGGAGCGAAACAGGAUUAGAUACC